UAAGUAUGUAAAGGAAUUAUUAUGCAAUUCUAGCUAUGUAUUAAGGAGAACAAAUUAGAUAUAAAAAGGAAUAUUUCAUAUUCCUAGUUAAUAAGCUCUAGAAUAAAUUUAAUAAUAAACGAAGUGAAGUGAAAUAUCUCAGUAACUUCAGGAAAAGAAAUCAAAAGAGAUUCUAUGAAUAGCGUGAGCAAAAGUAGAUAAGUCUAUUAAGUAAAAUGGUAUAUAAACUGUUUGAAUGGGGAACCUUCCUCAAAGACUAAAUAUGAUACAUAAGCGAUAGAUGAUGGGCCGUGAGGUAAUUAGAAGUUAGUAGUAAUUUUAUAAGCAGUUCGAAUAGACUUAAUUUAAGCUAAAGAACGUACCUUUUGCAUAAUGGGUCACCAAGUUAACAUUAGAUGCGAGAUAAUAUCGUAGUUAAACCAAACAUUAAAAAAAUGAUAAGUGUCUAAAGUUAGACCCGAAGCCUAGUGAUUUUACUAUGGUCAGGAUUAUAAAAGUCCGAACGGGUGAUUGUAGCAAAAAUCUCCGAAGAACCGUGGUAGGUAUAGUGAAAGACAAUACUGACUAGGAUAGCUGGUUUUCUGCGAAACCUAUAACAGUAGGCAAUUUAAGUAAAUAUCUUAGCAGGUACAGAAUUUAAUCUCAGGCAAUUUAUUGCACAAAUUGGGGAAUCGUGAAGAUUUUAUCAGUGAGUAUGUAGACUCGGAAUGGUAAAGAUAUAUCUUGAAUGAUCAGACAUAGAAUGAUAAGGUUGUAUGUCAAAAGGGAAACAGCCCAGAACAAGAGUUAAGGUUCCUAAAUUAUUUGUUGAGUGAAAUUAAGAAAGUUUUUAUUAAAGUCGACAAGGAGAUAGGCUUAGAAGCAGCCAUAAUUUUAUGACCUCGUAACAGAGCGCUUGUUAAGUUAUAAAAGCAUCGAAAAUAUAACGGAUCUAAACAAUAUACCGAAACCUUGUCCAUAAAUUAAUGUAGUUUACGUAUUUUUUACAAAUUUAUGGGGUAGCAGAACGUUGAAUUAAACUAAAUAAGAAGUUUAUAAAUUUGUUAUGUUAAUUCAAGUGAGAAUGGUGACAUGAGUAACGAAAAGAAUAGUAGAUGAUAUUAUAAAACUACAUUAAAUAUUUGAUCUUAUUUAAUGUUUAAAGAUCUACUAUCCGCCUAAAGCUUAUGGUUAGAAUUAAGUAACGGCCUCUAAGCUUUUUUAUCUAAAGAUUGAAGCGAUGAGAAAAUCUUUUAUUAUAAGACGACAUUUAUCUAGUGAAAAAUGUACAGGAAAUAUUAUAAUAUAGUAACCGUACCUAGAGACCGACUAUGGUAAGCUAGUAGAGUAUACGAAGGCGUAAUUGAGAUAACAAUCAUAAAGGAACUCGGCAAAUUGACUAUCGUAACUUCGGGAUAAGUAGGGCUCAUUAUUCUUGAUUAAUAUCAGGUAAAGAGGAAGAAACAUAAAAUAAUGUUGUACGACUGUUUAAUUAAAACACAGCACUUUGCUUAAAGAUUAAAAAUCUAUGUAUAAAGUGUGAUAUCUGCCCGGUGCCGGCUGGCUAACAGAGAUAAUUGAAUACAUUACUAUUUGAUGUCAACGGAAGCCCCGGUUAAAGGCGGCCUUAACGUGAGGGUCCUAAGGUAGCGAAAUGCCUUGGCCGUUAAAUGCGGUCUUGCAUGAAUGGUGUAACGAUACAACAGCUGUCUCUAUGAUUGACUCAGUGAAAUUGGAAUAGCUGUGCAGAUACAGCUUACCUCUAGUUAGACGAGAAGACCCUAUGCAGCUUUACUGUCACUAAUUAUAGAUUUUGAUGAAAAAUUUUCAGACUAAAAGGUUGUUGAUUAAAUAUUCAUGAGAAACCUUUAUUUUUAUUCUUCAUUUGAAUGAAUUGAUAUACCUUUAGUAUAUCAUCCUAGUUCAACUUAGUUCUUAGUUUACUAAGAAAUAGGUACCCUUGGAAAGGAACUAUGACUAGGGGACAGUUUAUGUGGGGCACAGACCCUGUAAAGAGUAAACAGGUGUGUCUAAUAAUUAUUUUUAUUUUGUUUGCUAUUUUUAUAUAAAUCAUAUUCACUUUAAUAUAAUUGUAUUGUGUACGGCUAUUUAAGCUCGUUAUAUAAUUAUAUUUAUAUUGAAAAUUUAGGUAAGAUUUUGACUAUACUGAAAUUAGAGAUAAUUUAAGAUUUUAUGUAAUAAAUUAAUUACUAAAAUUUUAUAGUUAUACUAUGUGUGAUCGCACAUAUUAAUUAUGUUUUUAAUAUCUAAAAAGCUCAACGGCUUAAUCUUGCCUUACUGUUUGAUUAUCGACAAAUCUUACAGUUGCGUAAGCAGGGCAUAGGAUCACAAGAUGCAAUAAGGAAAGAUCUUGGAUUAUUGGAAAAGCUACGCUAGGGAUAACAGGCUAAUUUGCGCAAGAGUGUACAAAAUGAGUGCGCGGUUUGGCACCUCGAUGUCGGCUUAACUUAUCCUCAUGGAUGCAGAAACUAUGUAGGGUGCGACUGUUCGUCGAUUAAAAAGUUACAUGAGCUGGGUUAAAUACGUCGUGAGACAGUAUGGUUUCUAUCUUCUAGAGGGAAUUAGAAUAAAAUAAGAACGAACUUUUGUACGAAAGGAACAAGAAUGAUUAAACAAAUUAUAGUUACUAACCUAUGGUUUACCUGUUGUUUAUAUGCCUUAUUAUUAAAUAUAUAGAUAAUAUAAUAUAUUUAUUGAUUAGUAUCUAUAUUUAGGUCAAUACUUACUAAUUCAGUGGUGAAAACUACUGUUAUCUAUAUAUAUGUAUAUAUUAACAUAUACAGAGGAUGUAUCGUUCGCUAGGAUAAUAUAUAAUAUAAGCACGGCAGGAAAGCUAAGUUGGUUAAGGAUAAGUGCUGAAAGCAUAUAGGCACGAAGCUUAUCUUAAGAUAUUUCUUAAAUAUAUGUAUUAGAAUAAUACACAAUAGGUUUUCUUUGUAAGAAUCUAGAGAUUUGUAAGAUGAAAAUACUAAUUUUAUAAAUUACUAU
rnacentral:rRNA from 1 species